GAUGGCCGAGGCUACCAUGCAGUCGAGCGGUAGCACAGAGAGCUUGCUCUCGGGUGACGAGCGGCGGACGGGUGAGUAAUGUCUGGGAAACUGCCUGAUGGAGGGGGAUAACUACUGGAAACGGUAGCUAAUACCGCAUAAUGUCGCAAGACCAAAGUGGGGGACCUUCGGGCCUCAUGCCAUCAGAUGUGCCCAGAUGGGAUUAGCUAGUAGGUGGGGUAACGGCUCACCUAGGCGACGAUCCCUAGCUGGUCUGAGAGGAUGACCAGCCACACUGGAACUGAGACACGGUCCAGACUCCUACGGGAGGCAGCAGUGGGGAAUAUUGCACAAUGGGCGCAAGCCUGAUGCAGCCAUGCCGCGUGUGUGAAGAAGGCCUUCGGGUUGUAAAGCACUUUCAGCGGGGAGGAAGGCGAUAAGGUUAAUAACCUCGUCGAUUGACGUUACCCGCAGAAGAAGCACCGGCUAACUCCGUGCCAGCAGCCGCGGUAAUACGGAGGGUGCAAGCGUUAAUCGGAAUUACUGGGCGUAAAGCGCACGCAGGCGGUCUGUCAAGUCGGAUGUGAAAUCCCCGGGCUCAACCUGGGAACUGCAUUCGAAACUGGCAGGCUAGAGUCUUGUAGAGGGGGGUAGAAUUCCAGGUGUAGCGGUGAAAUGCGUAGAGAUCUGGAGGAAUACCGGUGGCGAAGGCGGCCCCCUGGACAAAGACUGACGCUCAGGUGCGAAAGCGUGGGGAGCAAACAGGAUUAGAUACCCUGGUAGUCCACGCCGUAAACGAUGUCGAUUUGGAGGUUGUGCCCUUGAGGCGUGGCUUCCGGAGCUAACGCGUUAAAUCGACCGCCUGGGGAGUACGGCCGCAAGGUUAAAACUCAAAUGAAUUGACGGGGGCCCGCACAAGC
rnacentral:rRNA from 1 species